UAACAAGGAAUAUCAAAGGUAAAUGCUAUUUUCUUAAAAGUAAUUAAAAGAAAAUUGGGAACGAAACAUUCCUUGAAACACUCAAAAUCCAUUCACGAAGAUUCUCUCCUGUUUCCUCAUUCUCCUCAAAUCUCCCUCGCUCUCGACUUCACGCUCUUCUCACCGAAACCCUCUCUCCAUCGCGCCUCUCUCACAAACUCCACCCAAAAUUGUUUUUUCAAACUUUGCUUCUGAAAUAGCUCUCUCAACCGUACCUCUCUCACUCAAUCGAUAUCUCCCACGCAAAGGCGGAAAAGAAAAAAAAGUUUAAAAGGAAAAAUCCAAGGCGAAAGCUCACCUUUGGUGGUGAUUCGGCGGUAGCAGCGAGCUUGCAAUGGGCUCCCUUCGUUAGGUUUCAAAGUUCUCCGCCGUUGAUUGCAACCAGGGUUUUGAACUGAUUCCUCAGAUAAAAGGGGCAAACUGCAAAAUCCUUUAGGGCGCUCAGCUUGGAUCGGCCUAUUUGGAUGUUUGGUUUUUGGAAAAGUAAAUGGUUGCAAUGGUUUGAUGAUGCAGGCUGCCUGAACUGUUGCUGCUGUUUGGAUGCAUAACUGAUAAUUUUAGGGAUUUCAGGACCAUUGUGGUUACCAAGCAUGGACUCGGCUUCAUUCAAUGCCAAAUAUCCUAAUUCAGCAGGAACAACAAUCCAUUCACGAUGUAUUGAAGAAUCUCACAAGGAGUUCCAACCAUUAAGCCAAUUGAGGAAUUCGACUUUUCGUUAUCUGAUGAAGCAUGAUUCUUUGUAGACUUUAACUCUGCAUUGUGGAUGAUAUAUCUUGCUGCAUUGACACUGUUCAACUUUCUCCUCGGAAGCAUAAAGCGCAACGGCUCCCGGAUGCUUUGAAUUCAAACCAAACUCUCUAUCUCGUCUUAACAACUGAAUAAAGGGCAACAAAUAGGCCAAUGUUCUAUCGGGUUGAGAAGGUGAACUCAAUAGCAAACUCUUCCCUUCCAAAAUAGUUGGAAUAACAACACACCGUAUCUCACUUGGUACGAAAUCAACAACCUCUUCCAAAACCUCAACAAGAACUUUACUCAAGACCAAUUCCUUAAGGUAGUCCAAGGAACACAGAGCACAUAACCUGGUGUCAUUUCGAGGAAACUUCGAAUUUGUAAAAUCCCCUACAGUUGGCCUGAAGGAAUCAUUUAAAGUCAGGAACCAGUUCCGUCGGCAUAUGUGAGAAAGCAACACUGGAUAAGUAAGUCAAGGUGUUCUUUAUGUACACUUUCACAUCGUUGUGGCAGGCAGACAGAGGCUGGCGAGCAAUUAAAUGGUAAGCCAGGCUCAAAAGAGGCGGUCGGACGGUUUUGAAGCCGAAGUAACAAAAAUCACGUCCUGUAGUUCACACCAUGCCGACGUUCAUUUAUGGUUACACACACAUGGACGGAAUUAGCAUGAAGCCUUUCACUUGCAAAUGCUGGAGAAUUGAAUAACCGCUUUUGAAACAGGGACCAAUGACGGAUGUAACUUUCCACCUGAUGAGAAAUGGCAAUGAGAAUUUGCUUGAACCUUUCCAACUUAGAGAUCCAUCAUCCACAAAGUAGUCGACAUCAGCCCACUAGCUUGACGGUGACGUAAGAGUUUCUUUACCGAUUUCAGGUGGUGUUGUAGCAGAAACGUUCCAACCUGAAUUUUGGGUUGCGGCGGCUGGAAGAAAUUAUAGACAUGUUGGUGCCAAGACCAAGGCCGACCGUGUUGUUAUACUGUGGUCAAAUUGCUGUAGAGUUGUUUAUGUAGAGUUGUUUAUCUUUUUAAGCCUCACACAUUAGGCCCUGUAAUGAUUGAUUGUAGUAACAAAAAGGGAUGUUGACUUUUAGCAGCAUAAUUAUUUAAGAAAAUUUUUGUUCA